rnacentral:misc_RNA from 1 species
UUUCUGUAGUAGUAAUUAUCUUAUUUUUCACGUUGUAAUAUUUAUGAUUCCCAGUAUCAUGAUGUUCCAGAUACAAAACGUGAUUUAGUCCUCUCUUCGUAUGUCUUUCUCAUGGCCAAUAAAUUCCGGAAGACAUGGCCUCAAUUGAUGCACAGCGGUCCCACCAAAUGAUUCCAAUUUCAUAACUUUCACUUCUGGAAUUAUCUAC